rnacentral:rRNA from 1 species
GCCCGGUGCACUCUUCUGCAGGCAGGCCAGCAUCAGUUUGGGCGGUGGGAUAAAGGUCUCUGUCAUGUACCUCUCUUCGGGGAGGCCUUAUAGGGGAGGCGACAUACCACCAGCCUAGACUGAGGUCCGCGCAUCUGCUAGGAUGCUGGCGUAAUGGCUGUAAGCGGCCCGUCUUGAAACACGGACCAAGGAGUC